AGAGUUUGAUCCUGGCUCAGGAUGAACGCUAGCGGCAGGCCUAACACACGCAAGUCGAACGGCAGCGGCACCCUCGGGUGGCCGGCGAGUGGCGCACGGGUGCGUAGCGCGUAUGCAACCUGCCCCUUACAGGGGGAUAGCCCAGAGAAAUUUGGAUUAAUACCCCAUGGCACCCCGCCCCCACAUGCGGGUAUUAUUAAAGCUUCGGCGGUAAAAGAUGAGUAUGCGUUCUAUUAGCUAGAUGGUGUGGUAACGGCACACCAUGGCAACGAUAGAUAGGGGCCCUGAGAGGGGGAUCCCCCACACUGGUACUGAGACACGGACCAGACUCCUACGGGAGGCAGCAGUGAGGAAUAUUGGGCAAUGGGCGAAAGCCUGAUCCAGCCAUGCCGCGUGCAGGAAGACUGCCCUAUGGGUUGUAAACUGCUUUUAUACAGGAAGAAACACCCCCUCGUGAGGGGGCUUGACGGUACUGUAAGAAUAAGGAUCGGCUAACUCCGUGCCAGCAGCCGCGGUAAUACGGAGGAUCCAAGCGUUAUCCGGAAUCAUUGGGUUUAAAGGGUCCGUAGGUGGAUAAUUAAGUCAGAGGUGAAAUCCUGCAGCUCAACUGUAGAAUUGCCUUUGAUACUGGUUAUCUUGAGUCGUUGUGAGGUGGUUGGAAUAUGUAGUGUAGCGGUGAAAUGCAUAGAUAUUACAUAGAACACCGAUUGCGGAGGCAGAUCACCAACGACGUACUGACACUGAUGGACGAAAGCGUGGGGAGCGAACAGGAUUAGAUACCCUGGGAGUCCACGCCGUAAACGAUGGUCACUAGCUGUUCGGACUUUGGUCUGAGUGGCUAAGCGAAAGUGAUAAGUGACCCACCUGGGGAGUACGUUCGCAAGAAUGAAACUCAAAGGAAUUGACGGGGGCCCGCACAAGCGGUGGAGCAUGUGGUUUAAUUCGAUGAUACGCGAGGAACCUUACCAGGGCUUAAAUGCAGUCUGACAGCUUUAGAGAUAGAGUUUUCUUCGGACAGAUUGCAAGGUGCUGCAUGGUUGUCGUCAGCUCGUGCCGUGAGGUGUCAGGUUAAGUCCUAUAACGAGCGCAACCCCUGUUGUUAGUUGCCAGCGAGUGAAGUCGGGAACUCUAACAAGACUGCCGGUGCAAACCGUGAGGAAGGUGGGGAUGACGUCAAAUCAUCACGGCCCUUACGUCCUGGGCUACACACGUGCUACAAUGGCCGGUACAGAGAGCAGCCACACCGUAAGGUGGAGCGAAUCUACAAAACCGGUCUCAGUUUGGAUCGGGGUCUGCAACUCGACCCCGUGAAGCUGGAAUCGCUAGUAAUCGGAUAUCAGCCAUGAUCCGGUGAAUACGUUCCCGGGCCUUGUACACACCGCCCGUCAAGCCAUGGAAGCUGGGAGUGCCUGAAGUCCGUCACCGCAAGGAGCGGCCUAGGGCAAGAUCGGUAACUAGGGCUAAGUCGUAACAAGGUAACC
rnacentral:rRNA from 1 species